rnacentral:rRNA from 1 species
AGAGUUUGAUUAUGGCUCAGAACGAACGCUGGCGGCAUGCCUCAUACAUGCAAGUCGAACGAGGUCUUCGGACCUAGUGGCGCACGGGUGAGUAACAUGUGGGAAUCUGCCUGAAGGUUCGGAAUAACUGCGGGAAACUGUAGCUAAUACCGGAUGUGUCUGCAAAGAGAAAGAUUUAUCGCCUUCAGAUGAGCCCGCACUAGAUUAGCUAGUUGGUGAGGUAAUUGCUCCACCAAGGCUACGAUCUAUAGCUGAUUUGAGAGGAUGAUCAGCCACACUGGGACUGAGACACGGCCCAGACUCCUACGGGAGGCAGCAGUAGGGAAUAUUGGACAAUGGGGGAAACCCUGAUCCAGCAAUGCCGCGUGAGUGAAGAAGGCCUUAGGGUUGUAAAACUCUUUCAUCAAUGAUGAUAAUGACAUUAGUUGAAGAAGAAGCUCCGGCUAACUUCGUGCCAGCAGCCGCGGUAAUACGAAGGGGGCUAGCGUUGUUCGGAAUCACUGGGCGUAAAGCGUAUGUAGGCGGAUCAAAAAGUUAGAUGUGAAAUCCCUGGGCUCAACCCAGGAACUGCAUUUAAAACUAGUGAUCUAGAAUUUGGUAAGGGUUAGUAGAAUUUCCAGUGUAGAGGUGAAAUUCGUAGAUAUUGGAAAGAAUACCAGAAGCGAAGGCGACUAACUAGGCCAUUUUUGACGCUGAGAUACGAAAGCGUGGGUAGCAAACAGGAUUAGAUACCCUGGUAGUCCACGCAGUAAACGAUGAGUGCUAGUCGCUGGGACAUUAGUUUCAGUGUCGAAGCUAACGCAUUAAGCUGUCCGCCUGGGAAGUACGGUCGCAAGAUUAAAACUCAAAGGAAUUGACGGGGGCCCGCACAAGCGGU